GAUGAACGCUGGCGGCGUGCUUAACACAUGCAAGUCGAACGGUGAAGCAGGAGCUUGCUCCCUGGAUCAGUGGCGAACGGGUGAGUAACACGUGGGCAACCUGCCCCUGACUCUGGGAUAACGCUUCGAAAGAGGUGCUAAUACCGGAUACGAACCUCCUGGGCAUCCAGGAGGUUGGAAAGUUUUUCGGUCAGGGAUGGGCCGGCGGCCUAUCAGCUUGUUGGUGAGGUAACGGCUCACCAAGGCGACGACGGGUAGCCGGCCUGAGAGGGCGACCGGCCACACUGGGACUGAGACACGGCCCAGACUCCUACGGGAGGCAGCAGUGGGGAAUAUUGCGCAAUGGGCGAAAGCCUGACGCAGCAACGCCGCGUGAGGGAUGACGGCCUUCGGGUUGUAAACCUCUUUCAGCAGGGAAGAAGCGAAAGUGACGGUACCUGCAGAAGAAGCACCGGCUAACUACGUGCCAGCCGCCGCCGUAAGAC
rnacentral:rRNA from 1 species